GCUGUGAUGAAUUUUUGGCAUUGAUCAAAGUAUGAGCUGAUAAAGCCUCUUGUCCUCUAAGAAGUUCUGAGCGU